UACGUAGGUGGCAAGCGUUGUCCGGAUUUAUUGGGUUUAAAGGGUGCGUAGGCGGCCCUGUAAGUCAGUGCUGAAAUAUCCCGGCUUAACCGGGAGGGUGGCAUUGAUACUGCGGGGCUAGAGUACAGAUGAGGUAGGCGGAAUUGACGGUGUAGCGGUGAAAUGCUUAGAUAUCGUCAAGAACACCGAUAGCGAAGGCAGCUUACUGGGCUGUAACUGACGCUGAGGCACGAAAGUGUGGGGAUCAAACAGG
rnacentral:rRNA from 1 species